rnacentral:rRNA from 1 species
UACGUAGGGGGCAAGCGUUAUCCGGAUUUACUGGGUGUAAAGGGAGCGUAGACGGUUAGGUAAGUCUGAUGUGAAAGCCCGCGGCUCAACCGCGGGACUGCAUUGGAAACUAUUUAACUAGAGUGCAGGAGAGGUAAGUGGAAUUCCUAGUGUAGCGGUGAAAUGCGUAGAUAUUAGGAGGAACACCAGUGGCGAAGGCGGCUUACUGGACUGUAACUGACGUUGAGGCUCGAAAGCGUGGGGAGCAAAC